GGCUGGUCUGGAGGUAGUGAGUUAUUUCAAGUGAUUGCUUACAUUCAGUUACAGAUAAAAUUCUUUUUUCUAUUCUUUCCCCCCUUCUCACCACUGCAUUUGACUUGUCUUUA
ensembl:misc_RNA Y_RNA Y RNA